AAUCAACGCUGGCGGCAUGCCUUACACAUGCAAGUCGAACGGCAGCACGGGGCAACCUGGUGGCGAGUGGCGAACGGGUGAGUAAUGCAUCGGAACGUACCUUUCAGUGGGGGAUAACGUAGCGAAAGUUACGCUAAUACCGCAUAUUCUGUGAGCAGGAAAGCAGGGGAUCGCAAGACCUUGCGCUGAUUGAGCGGCCGAUGUCAGAUUAGCUAGUUGGUGAGGUAAAGGCUCACCAAGGCGACGAUCUGUAGCGGGUCUGAGAGGAUGAUCCGCCACACUGGAACGGAGACACGGUCCAGACUCCUACGGGAGGCAGCGGUGGGGAAUUUUGGACAAUGGGGGCAACCCUGAUCCAGCCAUGCCGCGUGAGUGAAGAAGGCCUUCGGGUUGUAAAGCUCUUUCGGCCGGGAAGAAAUCGCACGGGCUAAUACCCUGUGUGGAUGACGGUACCGGAAUAAGAAGCACCGGCUAACUACGUGCCAGCCGCCGCCGUAAAAC
rnacentral:rRNA from 1 species